rnacentral:tRNA from 1 species
GGGCGAGUGGCGAAAUGGUAGACGCGCCAGCCUUAGGAGCUGGUGUCGGUAACGACGUGUGAGUUCGAGUCUCACCUCGCCCACCA